rnacentral:tRNA from 1 species
CUAUCGGAUCGUUUUAGAAACAUCAGUGGCCAACGGUCGUCAGGAUCGUUGAGCUGCAUUGGCGGGAUUUCGCCGUCUUCGUUUCUCUUUCUUCGCGGACGAACACGCGCUGGGCCUGCAUGGUUGCAGGAUCCCGGUCCUUAACUGGAUAUGCGUUAGGGGCUUGUAGCUCAGUUGGUUAGAGCGCGCGCUUGAUAAGCGUGAGGUCGGAAGUUCAAGUCUUCCCAGGCCCACCACACUCAUCGAGUGAGCAUUCGUCUUCUGGUUACGGGGCCAUAGCUCAGCUGGGAGAGCGCGUGCUUUGCAAGCAUGAGGUCGUCGGUUCGAUCCCGUCUGGCUCCACCAGAUGGUUUGAUCACCGACAACUCAACCGUCGUCCGCGAAACAUCACUUCGCACCCACUAGUCCGGAUGGACAGUGACGUGCGUGAUUUCUGACAUCGUAAAGAGGAGAUCGAUCCGAGUUGGAUCGUGCAGAAGAUUUCUGCGCGGUACUCCAUUAUCUCCGGAUCAUUUCGGCGCUCGUGCGUCUUCCAAGGUAGCCUCACAAGGCUGCAUUGAAAGACAAGCGAGUUGUAAAUGAUCCUUUUAGCGAAGCUUGACCGCCUCGCUAUCGGAACGAUCUUACGAAGCAAGCUGGUCUUUCUAAUCAUUGUCCGGCUGUACGUAGCGUUCAUCGAGGGCGCGCGCCGCAAGGCAAUCGUACAGACAACAUUCUGCCGAGUGUGUGGACAUUGAUAAUGAGA